rnacentral:rRNA from 1 species
UACGAAAGGGGCAAGCGUUGUUCGGAUUUACUGGGCGUAAAGGGCGCGUAGGAGGCCUUGUGUGUCGAACGUGAAAUCUCCGGGCUCAACCCGGAAAGUGCGUUCGAAACUGCGGGGCUGGAGCAGGGGAUGGGAAAGCGGAACUCAGGGUGUAGCGGUGAAAUGCGUUGAUAUCCUGAAGAACACCGGUGGCGAAGGCGGCUUUCUGGAACCUGGCUGACUCUGAGGCGCGAAAGUAGGGGGAGCAAAC